rnacentral:rRNA from 1 species
AGAGUUUGAUCCUGGCUCAGGAUGAACGCUGGCGGCGUGCUUAACACAUGCAAGUCGAGCGAAGCACUAAGAAAGAUUCUUCGGAUGAAAUUUUAUGUGACUGAGCGGCGGACGGGUGAGUAACGCGUGGGUAACCUGCCUCAUACAGGGGGAUAACAGUUAGAAAUGACUGCUAAUACCGCAUAAGCGCACAGUGCUGCAUGGCACAGUGCGAAAAACUCCGGUGGUAUGAGAUGGACCUGCGUUGGAUUAGGCAGUUGGCGGGGUAACGGCCCACCAAACCGACGAUCCAUAGCCGGCCUGAGAGGGUGAACGGCCACAUUGGGACUGAGACACGGCCCAAACUCCUACGGGAGGCAGCAGUGGGGAAUAUUGCACAAUGGGGGAAACCCUGAUGCAGCGACGCCGCGUGAGUGAAGAAGUAAUUCGUUAUGUAAAGCUCUAUCAGCAGGGAAGAAAAUGACGGUACCUGACUAAGAAGCCCCGGCUAACUACGUGCCAGCAGCCGCGGUAAUACGUAGGUGGCAAGCGUUGUCCGGAAUUACUGGGUGUAAAGGGAGCGUAGGCGGGAAGGCAAGUUGAUUGUCUAAACUAUCGGCUCAACCGAUAGUCGCGAUCAAAACUACUUUUCUUGAGUGAAGUAGAGGUAAGCGGAAUUCCUAGUGUAGCGGUGAAAUGCGUAAAUAUUAGGAGGAACACCAGUGGCGAAGGCGGCUUACUGGGCUUUAACUGACGCUGAGGCUCGAAAGCGUGGGUAGCAAACAGGGAUUAGAUACCCUGGUAGUCCACGCUGUAAACGAUGAUUACUAGGUGUGGGGGGACUGACCCCUUCCGUGCCGGAGUUAACACAAUAAGUAAUCCACCUGGGGAGUACGGCCGCAAGGCUGAAACUCAAAGGAAUUGACGGGGACCCGCACAAGCGGUGGAACAUGUGGUUUAAUUCGAAGCAACGCGAAGAACCUUACCAAGUCUUGACAUCCCUCUGACCGGAACUUAACCGUUCCUUUCCUUCGGGACAGGGGAGACAGGUGGUGCAUGGUUGUCGUCAGCUCGUGUCGUGAGAUGUUGGGUUAAGUCCCGCAACGAGCGCAACCCCUGUCGCCAGUUACCAUCAUUGAGUUGGGGACUCUGGCGAGACUGCCUCUGCAAGGAGGAGGAAGGCGGGGAUGACGUCAAAUCAUCAUGCCCCUUAUGACCUGGGCCACACACGUGCUACAAUGGACGGGACAGAGGGAAGCGAAGGCGCGAGCCGGAGCGGACCCCAGAAACCCGUUCCCAGUUCGGACUGCAGUCUGCAAUUCGACUGCACGAAGCCGGAAUCGCUAGUAAUCGCGGAUCAGCAUGCCGCGGUGAAUAAAGGCUCGGGCCUUGCACACACCGCCCGUCA